GCAUUGAAUAACACAGACAAGAGGCUCUCGCUCCAUUAAUUAUUAAUUGUACUUUUUGCAUUUCUUAGGACAGCAAAGAGCUGAGCUCUAAGGCGGAAGAAAGGGAGACUGGAAAGGAUCAGCAGACAGAGCUGCCCCUGUGCUUGCCCCUGAGGGACUUCCCGGACUCCGCUCCGGUCAUGUCCUCAGACUCGGGACAUGCGACGGAGUCUCUCCACCUUGCAUGUGGGUUUGCGCGUACGGGUGUGGGGAGGCAAAAUUUCCAAGUGCACGGUGGGAGGGGGCUGUCCCUAUUGGGAAAAAGCAGGAGGCUGGCUCUGGAAAGAGCCUUCUUUGUCUCUGAGCCCAGCCUUGCCCGAGCCACCUGUGCUGUGAACUCUGGAGAAGGUAAAGAGCCAGCCCCGCGUGGGACCUGCAGGCGACGUCCCUGUCAGCUGUGGGGUGGGAAAGUCACUCUCCCUGCUCCCUGCACAUGUUCUGGGGAUUUUGCCCAUGUCAGCUGCUCUUUCUCAGCGGCCCUCUCUCCUGCCAGCCAGCGAUUCCAAGCCCCCAAUGCCCACACCCAACGAGGGCCCUGGAAGCACCGUGGGACAUGCGGGCCCUCCGAGGACAGUGAAGGCUGGUGGGGGUCACCCUUCUCUGAGAGAACCAGAAUCCUUUGCUUCCCACACAUAUUCCCCUAUUAUCUUCCUAAUGUGUUCCUUAUUCUGGAGAGGUAGAAUUAAAAAAUAAGAAGGGGAAAAAGAAAAGAGAAAUGUUUUGCCUUAGUUGGACUUCGUUUAAAUUGUCUCCUUCCAAGAUGCAGAGGAGGGUUCACCAUGAUCAUCAUUAUUAUUAGAGUCUGCUCUAGAGGGGAAGGGGAGGAUGGAGGGGAGCCAGCCAGGGCUGGAGCGUUCUCCUGACUGUGACCUUGGCACAGCCUGGCUGUGAAGACAAGGACCAGCCCACAAGUCUAGGCCUGAAGGAGGAAAAAAAGUUGCCUGGCAAGGACCGUACGUCUCAGAGUCUUCCCACAUAUUUUGCCAGAUAGUAAAACUGAGUCCAAAAAGGAAAGUGUCUUGCUCCCAAUCUCAAAGCCUGUUAAUAACAGGGCAGGAUUUUUAUAAAGGCUGCAACAAAAUCAGCCAAGAGAAUGGACCCUAAACUCUGAAGUGGAUUAUUUAUUAUUCACAAAACCGUAGGCUUAAAGGCAUGCAUGCAGAUAACCAAUUAAAGAGCCUUCGCUGGUGUUUUAUCAUCCUGCGCUCCCCAGGUGCUGGGGGCCCAGCCAGGAGGGGCUCAGGUCUGCAGUGGCCCUCUCUGACCCAGCCCCUGUUUCGUUCAGCAUUGAGGUCUCACACCACUGCCUCUGUCACAGACCUAUGUACAGAACCCCAGCUGGCUUUGAGAGGGCUCCAGGUGUCUUUGCCGCGUCUACACCUGGUUGGUGUUAUCUAUGCAGAACACCAGGAAAACGAAGCCUCUCCUUUCACCCUCAUCACUUGGAUCCGUGGUGCACCGGGACAGCGCUCACAGCUCUGUGUGCCCUCUUUAUUUCCUCCCCUGGGAGUUAUUUGUUCCCAGCAGGAGGCGUCAGCAGCGAGCGGGGGCUGGAUGGAGAGCUGCAUUCCAGGCCUGGUGUCCCAGGUGACGAGGCCUCCAGCCAGAGCAUCUGUCCUUCCUCACAGCCCAGAUGUCCUUGAACCCAAGGUCAAGUCCCUGAAUCUUCUGCCCAUCCUCAUUCCUCACCACUGGCCCCUGCAGGUGGUGCAGCGCCCACCUCCUUCCGUGCUCCUGUCCUGAAGCCUGCGUGCCUCCACACAGUCAAAGCUGGGACAUCUCCAGUGAAUCUAUCACUGGCAACACAACCAUUUCCUGACUCCUACGGCUUGGUCAAAUCCCUCCUUCCACCCCAGGCCUCUGGACUGGAAGGCUGUGGUCAUGCUGGUUCUUGCAGCCCUGAUGGCUCCCCUCGGGCUCCUGGUGCCACGUUGUGCCUGUCCAAGCCACUCAGCUUCAGGACGAAGAGGUGUUUGCCCUGCUGGCUCCCUGCAAGGUAAGUAAGCGUGUGUCAGGUGACAGCUUCCACACGCAGGCAAUGUGACCUCACCCAUGGACGUGACAGUGCAUCCACAGCACAUGAGCGAACAUUUCCUUUCAGCCACAGGAGGGCGAUACCAUAGUCUUUUGAUCUCUCAAGAAAAAAUACACACUGGAAAAAUGCAAGGUAUUAUGGUUACUUAUAUAAAGCUUCUUACCUGUGCACAUGGGCCUCAAUAACCAUAAGAAUCAUCAAACCUAAGGAAGAAACAUUCUCAAUUAAUUCUGGGUUGGAAGUGAAGAGACAGGAUUUGAUAUCAGAAAGGACGCCAUAAAAACUGUCAUGUGCAUAUCACUUAAAAACAGAUGCUGCCACGGGGCUUGAGCCACCAGCCCAGGGAAUGUAGCUCCCUUUUCCUGUCACCCACCUUGGAAGUCACAGAGAACGCGAGCAGCCAUUAGGUGCACGCCUGGCAGUGCCGGCUCAGGGAGGCUGCAGGAGAGGAGCCCAGGCCGGAGCUCAGGGUUCCUGGUCCGGGCUGCCCUCUGAAAGUGUCCUCGAUCAUGUCGAGGUCCUGGGUAUUACAGGGUAUGCCCUCAGGUUCGUCAUGUCAGGUUCAGGACCUCGCUUCCAAGAGCCAGUAUCAUAUCCACAAAACUGGAACUAGGGUGGAAGCUAUCCCUCUGUAACAGUUUCCCUCUUUGUAAAAUGGGAAUAAUACCACUUAAAGCCUUCAUUCUUACCCUUGAAAAUGAUAGAGUUCUGUGACUGUAGAAUGCUAUUGAGGACAUCCUCCUCCUUCCUGCUUUUUACAGAGGAUGCCCCAUCCCCUGUCAUCUUCCUCCAGUGCACAGUGUGGAUGAUUUCAUGGGCUCGUCUUUGCCACAUCUAGGCUCUGGUGGAUAGUUCAGCCUGUGAUCCUGUCACUGUUGGGUGUGACCUGCAUAAGCAAAUUGGUCACAGUGGUGUGGCCGUCCAGGCACCUCGCUAUCCCAGGUCUCUUCCGAAACCCAUCACCACCCUCGCUGGACUGAUGUCUUUUCUCUACCCAAACCCACUCCUCCUCGUGCGUCGUCGAAGACUCUGUGCAAUUCUCAAACCAGAAUGUCCACACAUCCUGGGUUCCUUUCCUGGGCAUCGUGGGCUAUUUAGUAGCAAGUCCUGUUACUCUGUCUCCUUCACAUACCCUCCCGCAGCCUCAGCUGCUUAGGACACCCUUCUCUCUGGCCUGGAGCACCACUACAGCCUCCUAGGAGGACUAUUCUGGUUUCACUCCCUCAAAUCCAUCACAGAGAGAUCUUCCUGGGGGAGAUGUUUUAAUUUUUUUGUUUUCAAAUUUGUUAUAUUUUUAUUAAUAAAUGAU
ensembl:lncRNA novel transcript